rnacentral:rRNA from 1 species
GACGAACGCUGGCGGCGUGCUUAACACAUGCAAGUCGUACGGUAAGGCCCUUUCGGGGGUACACGAGUGGCGAACGGGUGAGUAACACGUGAGUAACCUGCCCACAACUUUGGGAUAACGCUAGGAAACUGGUGCUAAUACUGGAUAUGUUCUCCUGCUGCAUGGUGGGGGUUUGAAAGCUCCGGCGGUUGUGGAUGGACUUGCGGCCUAUCAGCUUGUUGGUGGGGUAGUGGCCUACCAAGGCGGCGACGGGUAGCCGGCCUGAGAGGGUGACCGGCCACAUUGGGACUGAGAUACGGCCCAGACUCCUACGGGAGGCAGCAGUGGGGAAUAUUGCACAAUGGGCGCAAGCCUGAUGCAGCAACGCCGCGUGCGGGAUGACGGCCUUCGGGUUGUAAACCGCUUUCAGCAGGGACGAAGCUUUUUGUGACGGUACCGGCAGAAGAAGCACCGGCUAACUACGG